rnacentral:snRNA from 9 species
AUACUUACCUGGCGUAGAGAUACCGUGAUCCUGCAGGCGGUUCCCCCAUGGUGAGGCUGCUCCAUUGUACUGCGAAGAGGUUGUGACCCUUGCGAUUAUUCUUAUUUUUAAGUAUUUUUUAUAAGUUUCACUUCUACCGUGUGUGACUUGCACACACACACA